CGCUGCUUGUCCACACCCGCAGCCAGCUCACCAUGGAUGAUGAUAUCGCUGAGCUUGUUGUUGACAACGGCUCUGGCAUGUGCAAGGCCAGCUUCACAGGCGAGGAUGUCCCCUGGGCCAUCUUCGCCUCCAACGUGGAGUGCACCAGGCACCAGGGCAUGAUGGUGGGCAUGGGUCAGAAGGACUCCUAUGUGGGCAACGAGGCCCAGAGCAAGAGAGACAUCCUCACCCUGAAGUACCCCAUCGAGCACGGCAUCGUCACCAACUGGGAUGACAUGGAGAAGAUCUGGCACUACACCUUCUACAAAGAGCUACGUGUGGCUCCCGAGGAGCACCCUGUGCUGCUGACCGAGGCCCUCCUGAACCUCAAGGCCAACCGUGAGAAGAUGACCCAGAUCAUGUUUGAGACCUUCAGCACCCCAGCCAUGUACGUGGCCAUCCAGGCCGUGCCGUCCCUGCACGCCUCUGUCCGUACCACUGGCAUUGUGAUGGAUUCUGGUGGGGUCACCCCACACUGUGCCCAUGUACAAGGGGUAUGCCCUCCCACAUGCCAUCCUGCCUCUGGACCUGGCUGGCCGGGACCUGACUGACUACCUCGUGAAGAUCCUCACCGAGCACAACUACAGCUUCACACCACAGCUGAGUGGGAAAUCGUGCGUGACAUCAAGAAGAAGCUGUGCUACGUUGCCCUGGAUUUCAAGCAGGAGAUAGCCAUGGCGGCCUCCAGUUCCUCCCUGGAGAAGAGCUACGAGCUGCCCGAUGGCCAGGUCAUCGCCAUUGGCAACAAGCGGUUCCACUGCCCCGAAGCGCUCUUCCAGCCUUCCUUCCUGGGCAUAGAAUCCUGUGGCAUCCACGAAACUACCUUCAACUCCAUCAAGAAGUGUGACGUGGACAUCCGCAAAGAUCUGUACACCAACGCAGUGCUGUCUGGCAGCACCACCAUGUACCCUGGCAUCACCAACAGGAUACAGAAGAAGAUCACCGCCCUAGCGCUCAGCACAGUGAAGAUCAAGAUCAUUGCUCCUCCCGAGUGCAAGUACUCCGUGUGGCUCAGCGGCUCCAUCCUGGCCUCGCUAUCUACCUUCCAGCAGAUGUGGAUCAGCAAGCAGGAGUACGACGAGUCCGCCCCUCCA